rnacentral:rRNA from 1 species
AUUGAACGCUGGCGGCAGGCCUAACACAUGCAAGUCGAGCGGAUGAAGGGAGCUUGCUCCUGGAUUCAGCGGCGGACGGGUGAGUAAUGCCUAGGAAUCUGCCUGGUAGUGGGGGAUAACGUCCGGAAACGGGCGCUAAUACCGCAUACGUCCUGAGGGAGAAAGUGGGGGAUCUUCGGACCUCACGCUAUCAGAUGAGCCUAGGUCGGAUUAGCUAGUUGGUGGGGUAAAGGCCUACCAAGGCGACGAUCCGUAACUGGUCUGAGAGGAUGAUCAGUCACACUUGAGCUGAGACACGGUCCCGCCUCCUACGGGAGGCAGCAGUGGGGAAUCUUGGACAAUGGGCGAAAGCCUGAUCCAGCCAUGCCGCGUGUGUGAAGAAGGUCUUCGGCUUGUAAAGCACUUUAAGUUGGGAGGAAGGGCAGUAAGUUAAUACCUUGCUGUUUUGACGUUACCAACAGAAUAAGCACCGGCUAACUUCGU